UGUGGGAUGUGAAACACAAGAGCAGUCAAGUACAACAUUCCUAGAGUGAACAUGUUUACACAUGGGGAGGAAUGUUUCUCCAGCCAGCAGGUAAACUUUGUGUUUCCUUCUGGGCUGGGACAGACUUCCUCUGCAUGUGACUAGAGGUGGGCGUGGCCUCACCUGUGCAGGUAACAACAAAAGCACUAGGCAGGGCAGCCAUCUCUUUUUGACUACAUGCAUUGAAGAAGCAACAUCUGCUUAGCCUAAGAUGCUCUCUUUACUUCCAGCCAAGAGAGGACAGAGGGACUGUCUUCUUAUGGAAUAGUUUCCAAGAGUGUAUGUUACUUUUCUAAGCUAAGUCUGCCUUCUGGGAUCCGGUUGUGAACAGAAUGUGAGUAAACUCUUUUUAUACUU